GUGGGGAAUUUUGCACAAUGGGGGAAACCCUGAUGCAGCGACGCCGCGUGGAGGAUGAAGGCCUUCGGGUUGUAAACUCCUUUUGUAGGGGACGAUGAUGACGGUACCCUAUGAAUAAGCCACGGCUAACUCUGUGCCAGCAGCCGCGGUAAGACAGAGGUGGCGAGCGUUGUUCGGAAUCACUGGGCUUAAAGGGCGCGUAGGUGGCAGUGCAAGUCUGGGGUGGAAUCCCAGGGCUUAACCCUGGAACUGCCUUGGAAACUGCAUUGCUUGAGUCAGUGAGGGGAGGGUAGAAUUCCUGGUGUAGCGGUGAAAUGCGUAGAUAUCAGGAGGAAGGCCUGUGGCGAAGGCGGCCCUCUGGCGCUGGACUGACACUGAGGCGCGAAAGCGUGGGUAGCAAACAGGAUUAGAAACCCGAGUAGUCC
rnacentral:rRNA from 1 species